AGAGUUUGAUCCUGGCUCAGAACGAACGCUGGCGGCAGGCUUAACACAUGCAAGUCGAGCGCCCCGCAAGGGGAGCGGCAGACGGGUGAGUAACGCGUGGGAAUCUACCUAUCACUACGGGAACAACUCCGGGAAACUGGAGCUAAUACCGUAUACGUCCGAGAGGAGAAAGAUUUAUCGGUGAUAGAUGAGCCCGCGUUGGAUUAGCUAGUUGGUGGGGUAAUGGCCUACCAAGGCGACGAUCCAUAGCUGGUCUGAGAGGAUGAUCAGCCACACUGGGACUGAGACACGGCCCAGACUCCUACGGGAGGCAGCAGUGGGGAAUAUUGGACAAUGGGCGAAAGCCUGAUCCAGCCAUGCCGCGUGAGUGAUGAAGGCCUUAGGGUUGUAAAGCUCUUUCACCGGUGAAGAUAAUGACGGUAACCGGAGAAGAAGCCCCGGCUAACUUCGUG
rnacentral:rRNA from 1 species